AGAUGUUUUCUAACCAAAACACUUUGUUUCCUGGAAUAUUUUUCUCUGAAAACAGGUGUUUCCCAAUGUGUUGAUUCUGUGCCUGGAUGAAAAACUGAGAAAUUCAAUCAAUUAUGUGGACAUUUCUAAAUCGCCAGAUCUUUGGCAUCAUAUCGACAACCUUUAUAGAUGAUUGACUAAAGUUUUGGUUUCCAUCCAGAUGUUUGGGAGUUGCCACAGUCAUUAACCUGUUUGUCAGCAAGUGCUCAUGCAUUUCCAAGAGGCAUAAGUGAACACUAAAAAGGAAAAGAAUAGCCCAGAAUAAAACAGACAAAACAGGAGAGAGGUAGCAGCUAUUUGACAAAACCAGUCAAGCAGGCAGUGUUCUGGGAAUGGGUUGCUACCUUGGAGAUCCAUUAGAAGGUGGAUCCAGCUCACAAGAGACUCAUGUGUUUAAAGACCUUUAAAAACCUCAUACAGCUGUAUCCUCGACUGCCUACUGACCUGUACCCAAUCAGAUCCCUGCAUGGAGGAACCGAUGGAUCAAUCCCAGAGUCCAGCACAGACAACAGCUUGCCCAUGGUGCGACCAGUCCACCCUCUGCAUACUGACACUCUCUGGAAGCCUGCGUGCCUGUGCAUUUAACAUCACUAUGUAUUGUCAGUCCAAGCUGUGGAUUCUGCAAAGCUUGGCAUAAAGCCGAGUCUUCUGAGAUUGGCCCCCUAACCCAAACCAGCUAACCUGAGGAACGAAGAGGAGGAGAAAGAGGAAGAAAAGUAAGGAGCUUCUGGACCAAGGGACCCAGCAAAUGUCCCAGCCCCUUCCACUUGCACGGAUGUUACUGCCCUGGUCUAAGGCAGAGAGGUAAGUCCAUCCAGUCAGGUCCACCAAAGGCUGCUGAAUGCUGGCCACUGGACGGAAUCAGGCCCAAAGAUGUGUUUUAUUCGGUCAGCACAGAGUUUUUAAAAAUCCAGUCUUCCUACAUCACUGCCUGUAGACUGGGCCCAUGUGCUCCAGCUGCUUGUCCAGUUCUCGCCACUUUUCAUCUUAUAUUCUGGAACCUCUCUCCGCUGGUGCCCAGGAGUCAUUUGUGCUCAUGAUUCCUGGAACCAUCCCAUCUCCAUCAUUGCUUUCGGCAAACCCCAGUCUGGACUUCUGUGCACUGCUUUCCUUUCCCCAACAUCCCUACAAUAAAUCUGAACUUUUCUAGAAUAGAAUGGCACCUGACUCACUCCUCCUGCCCUGCUCUCUUUCUCUCUCUUUCCUUCUCUCUUGGAAGACACAGAAUCUGUUCUCAUUAUAUUGUCUCUCAGAAAGCAGAAGAAAGGGCUUCAUUCCUCCCAUGGUUGUCGCGGAUGUGCCGUGAGGGGACCCUGGCUCUACAGCCUUGUCUGUCUACUCUUUCCUGCACACUUCCUCUCUUACCUGAGAGUUCCCAGCCUACAAGAGGCUGCUCCCUCUCCUGUAGGGCCAGACCAUUCUUCCUUAGCUUCCCAUACCCUCAACACCUCUCCUGUGCCCAGCCCUCCUCAGGUGGUCUGAGGCGGCUGCCUCUGACAUCAUGUCUCACCUACACCCCAAGCCUUCUGCAGUGGCCAGCUCUGCAUUUCUCACAAACAGUAAGCCUCUUCCCUAUGCUCCUUGCACCUGGAUUACUGAGGAAAGACUUGCAGGCUGGCCCUGGUGUGAGCUCUGCCCGCCGUUGUGUCCCAGUGCUGCUGCCAUGCCUCCUACGGCGGGACCACAGCUCUGGAGAAGGGUUGUGCUGGGAAGAGCAUCUUCUUGGCUGCUUAUGCAGUUGGUCCCUAACUAAUCCUUCCAACAAGGCUGGGACCCAAGUGUCAAAGUGAGGAUGGACAGCUGGUUGCACAGCUCUUCAUCACAAAGGUGGCAUCACUGUAGCAAAGCCCCUCUUAUCGGGGGUUAACUGGACUACAGAGUGUUACAAUGCAAAUAACUGAAGAAAAAUGAGGCUCCAAUUUGCCUAGAUUAUGAAAUGAGGAAUCUUCAGCCUAGCCUUAUUGCUGCUGCCACCUCGCCCAGUGGCCUAAUGACUGCUUGCCAAUUACAAGGUGUCCAGUACAAGUACAAGGUGUCCAGCCUUGCCUGUGACUGCAGGUCAUGUCCUGUGAGUCUUCCUCCCUUUUCUCCUCUUGGCCUCAGAGCCUUUUCACUUAAAAGCAGACUUAGGUAGGCACCCACAAACACACACAAAUCCACACACACAGAAGAUAUCAACUUCUACACUGCAAACCAUCAUGAAUAUAUUCAAGCCAUGCCUUGCUAGCCCCAAAACAAAUAGC